rnacentral:lncRNA from 8 species
AAAUCAGCAGCUAUUGGACACAGUGACACUCCCCCUGGAAAGGCCUGAAACAUGGCACAGUAGGUUGAAAGGACAUGAAUGACAAGAAUGAAACAUUUUCAAUGAGAACCAGUACAUCAUUUUCCGUAAGAUAUUGAGACAUUGGAACGACACGGGGACAACUGUGUGAUUUCACGCCGUCUUGGGGUCUGUCUGUCUGUGUCUGUGUGUGUGUGUGUGUGUGUGUGUGUGUGUGUGUGUGUGUGUGUGUGUGUGUGUGUGUGUGUGUGUGUGUAGCAUCCAGAAGAAGACCAGCACCAUGUCCCUGACCAUCUCCAGCUCCUCCAAAGCAAUCUCCUCUUCCUCAUCCUCCAUUGUGGUCCAGCAGCAGAGACAGUCCAGCCUGGUGCAGCCCCUCUGCAUCAGCCCCCAGAGGACACAGAGUCCAUCCUACCCCAGACAGUAUUCAGGAGGUGGUGGCGUUGCCCCAACCUUUGUCGAGGUAAAAAAAAAAAAAAUACAGGAUACAUCUUUACUCCCAUCUGGUGACUGAAUAUGGAACUGAAGGUUUAGGUUGGGUUGGCACUAUAUACAUUUCAUGAAGGAUCCUUCCUCCUUAUAUCAGUGUGUCCAGUGGCCUGAUCCUUGCCAUUCAAAUGGAUUUACACCUACUCUAUAUCCUUAUGACGUCCUAGGCAGUUAUCCGAAUAUGACACAGCU